rnacentral:rRNA from 1 species
AGAGUUUGAUCCUGGCUCAGAUUGAACGCUGGCGGCAUGCUUUACACAUGCAAGUCGAACGGCAGCACGGGUGCUUGCACCUGGUGGCGAGUGGCGAACGGGUGAGUAAUGCACCGGAACGUACCCAGUAAUGGGGGAUAACACAUCGAAAGAUGUGCUAAUACCGCAUACGCCCUGAGGGGGAAAGCGGGGGAUCGCAAGACCUCGCGUUAUUGGAGCGGCCGAUGCCGGAUUAGCUAGUUGGUGGGGUAAAGGCCUACCAAGGCGACGAUCCGUGGCUGGUCUGAGAGGACGACCAGCCACACUGGGACUGAGACACGGCCCAGACUCCUACGGGAGGCAGCAGUGGGGAAUUUUGGACAAUGGGCGCAAGCCUGAUCCAGCCAUGCCGCGUGAGUGAAGAAGGCCUUCGGGUUGUAAAGCU